rnacentral:rRNA from 1 species
GACGAACGCUGGCGGCGUGCUUAACACAUGCAAGUCGAACGGAAAGGCCCUGCUUUUGUGGGGUGCUCGAGUGGCGAACGGGUGAGUAACACGUGAGUAACCUGCCCUUGACUUUGGGAUAACUUCAGGAAACUGGGGCUAAUACCGGAUAGGAGCUCCUGCUGCAUGGUGGGGGUUGGAAAGUUUCGGCGGUUGGGGAUGGACUCGCGGCUUAUCAGCUUGUUGGUGGGGUAGUGGCUUACCAAGGCUUUGGCGGGUAGCCGGCCUGAGUGGGGGACCGGCCAAAUUGGGACUGGGAUGCGGCCCAGACUCCUACGGGAGGCAGCAGUGGGGAAUAUUGCACAAUGGGCGGAAGCCUGAUGCAGAAACGCCGCGGGCGGGAUGACGGCCUUCGGGUUGUAACCCGCUUUCGCCGGGGACGAAGCGUGAGUGACGGUAAUGGGUAAAGAAGCACCGGCUAACUACGUG